UGCGGAGGAUCAUUAUUGANUAAAUCUGAUGGGUUUGUUGCUGGUUCUCUAGGGAGCAUGUGCACGCCCUGUCAUCUUUAUAUCUCCACCUGUGCACCUUUUGUAGACCCUUCAAGGUCUAUGUUGCUUCAUUUACCCCUAAACAAAUAAUAGUAUGUUGUGCCUUUAAUGAAAUAUCUAUACAACUUUCAGCAACGGAUCUCUUGGCUCUCGCAUCGAUGAAGAACGCAGCGAAAUGCGAUAAGUAAUGUGAAUUGCAGAAUUCAGUGAAUCAUCGAAUCUUUGAACGCACCUUGCGCUCCUUGGUAUUCCGAGGAGCAUGCCUGUUUGAGUGUCAUUAAUAUAUCAACCCCUCUUCUCUUGUCGAGUGGUUUGGAUGUGGGGGUUCUCUUUGCUGGCCUCCUUUUUU
rnacentral:misc_RNA from 1 species